GUAGGUGACUCCUGCGGAGGGAUCAUUACCGAGUUUACAACUCCCAAACCCCUGUGAACAUACCUAUACGUUGCCUCGGCGGAUCAGCCCGCGCCCUGUAAAACGGGACGGCCCGCCCGAGGACCCCUAAACUCUGUUUUUAGUGGAACUUCUGAGUAAAACAAACAAAUAAAUCAAAACUUUCAACAACGGAUCUCUUGGUUCUGGCAUCGAUGAAGAACGCAGCAAAAUGCGAUAAGUAAUGUGAAUUGCAGAAUUCAGUGAAUCAUCGAAUCUUUGAACGCACAUUGCGCCCGCCAGUAUUCUGGCGGGCAUGCCUGUUCGAGCGUCAUUUCAACCCUCAAGCUCAGCUUGGUGUUGGGACUCGCGGUAACCCGCGUUCCCCAAAUCGAUUGGCGGUCACGUCGAGCUUCCAUAGCGUAGUAAUCAUACCCCUCGUUACUGGUAAUCGUCGUGUCCACGCCGUAACACCCCAUUUUCCCAAAUGUUGACCUCG
rnacentral:rRNA from 1 species